rnacentral:lncRNA from 1 species
GUUUGGGGUUGAGGGGCUCACUGGCCAGUUUUUCCAUGUUUCUCAAAUAAAACUCUGGUGUCAUCAAGAAACAUGGUGGAGGGAGACAUGAAGACUUUAGAGACAGGAACCACUGCAGAAAUAUCAGGAGAUGGGGAGACAGAGGAAAGAAAGGAGAGAUCUGUGGAUCCCGUGAGCACCCCAAAUUGGAACCACUCCUUACCGUGUCUCAAGGAAGCAACAGACCUCCAAACUGCAUGGUGUACCUCAAAAGAGCAAGACCCAAGCAAAAAGAAUGCUGCCUGAUUUCCUGACAUUAACAAUGAACACAGCCAGACUCAAGAGGAGGAAGCUACUGGGACCACGGCAGUCAAGGAAACACCAUCAACACCCAGUCUUCCUC